AACGAACGCUGGCGGCAGGCCUAACACAUGCAAGUCGAGCGAGGACUUCGGUUCUAGCGGCGGACGGGUGAGUAACGCGUGGGAAUGUGCCCUUCUCUACGGAAUAGCCCUGGGAAACUGGGAGUAAUACCGUAUACGCCCUAUUGGGGAAGGAGUGAUCGGAGAAGGAUCAGCCCGCGUUGGAGUGGGUAGUUGGUGGGGUAAUGGCCUACCAAGCCGACGAUCCAUAGCCGGGUGGAGAGGAUGAUCAGCCACGCUGCGACCGCGCCACGGCCCAGACUCCGACGGGAGGCAGCAGUGGAGAAUCUUAGACAAUGGGGGCAACCCUGAUCUAGCCAUGCCGCGUGAGUGAUGAAGGCCUUAGGGUUGUAAAGCUCUUUCAGCUGGGAAGAUAAUGACGGUACCAGCAGAAGAAGCCCCGGCUAACUCCGUG
rnacentral:rRNA from 1 species